UAGUCCACGCCGUAAACGAUGAUUACUCGGUUUUGUUUCGACAGAGCCUAAGCGAAAGUGAUAAGUAAUCCACCUGGGGAGUACGAUCGCAAGAUUGAAACUCAAAGGAAUUGACGGGGGCCCGCACAAGCGGUGGAGCAUGUGGUUUAAUUCGACGAUACGCGAGGAACCUUACCUAGGCUUAAAUGUGAUAUGACCGUCUGUGAAAGCAGAUUUUCCUUGUGACAUAUUUCAAGGUGCUGCAUGGCUGUCGUCAGCUCGUGCUGUGAGGUGUCGGGUUAAGUCCCAUAACGAGCGCAACCCCUAUCUUUAAUUGCCAGCGAGUAAUGUCGGGGACUUUAAAGNGACUGCCUGUGUAAACAGAGAGGGAAGGUGGGGACGACGUCAAGUCAUCACGGGCCCUUACGUCUAGGGGCUACACACGUGCUACAAUGGUAACUACAGAGUGCUGCUGCUUGGUGACAAGU
rnacentral:rRNA from 1 species